rnacentral:piRNA from 1 species
UGCCCUCAUUAUUAGUCUGCAAGUUAUAGGA